rnacentral:rRNA from 1 species
GUGUGACUGCGUACCUUUUGUAUAAUGGGUCAGCGACUUAUAUUCUGUAGCAAGGUUAACCGAAUAGGGGAGCCGAAGGGAAACCGAGUCUUAACCGGGCGUUAAGUUGCAGGGUAUAGACCCGAAACCCGGUGAUCUAGCCAUGGGCAGGUUGAAGGUUGGGUAACACUAACUGGAGGACCGAACCGACUAAUGUUGAAAAAUUAGCGGAUGACUUGUGGCUGGGGGUGAAAGGCCAAUCAAACCGGGAGAUAGCUGGUUCUCCCCGAAAGCUAUUUAGGUAGCGCCUCGUGAAUUCAUCUCCGGGGGUAGAGCACUGUUUCGGCAAGGGGGUCAUCCCGACUUACCAACCCGAUGCAAACUGCGAAUACCGGAGAAUGUUAUCACGGGAGACACACGGCGGGUGCUAACGUCCGUCGUGAAGAGGGAAACAACCCAGACCGCCAGCUAAGGUCCCAAAGUCAUGGUUAAGUGGGAAACGAUGUGGGAAGGCCCAGACAGCCAGGAUGUUGGCUUAGAAGCAGCCAUCAUUUAAAGAAAGCGUAAUAGCUCACUGGUCGAGUCGGCCUGCGCGGAAGAUGUAACGGGGCUAAACCAUGCACCGAAGCUGCGGCAGCGACACUGUGUGUUGUUGGGUAGGGGAGCGUUCUGUAAGCCUGUGAAGGUGUACUGUGAGGUAUGCUGGAGGUAUCAGAAGUGCGAAUGCUGACAUAAGUAACGAUAAAGCGGGUGAAAAGCCCGCUCGCCGGAAGACCAAGGGUUCCUGUCCAACGUUAAUCGGGGCAGGGUGAGUCGACCCCUAAGGCGAGGCCGAAAGGCGUAGUCGAUGGGAAACAGGUUAAUAUUCCUGUACUUGGUGUUACUGCGAAGGGGGGACGGAGAAGGCUAUGUUGGCCGGGCGACGGUUGUCCCGGUUUAAGCGUGUAGGCUGGUUUUCCAGGCAAAUCCGGAAAAUCAAGGCUGAGGCGUGAUGACGAGGCACUACGGUGCUGAAGCAACAAAUGCCCUGCUUCCAGGAAAAGCCUCUAAGCAUCAGGUAACAUCAAAUCGUACCCCAAACCGACACAGGUGGUCAGGUAGAGAAUACCAAGGCGCUUGAGAGAACUCGGGUGAAGGAACUAGGCAAAAUGGUGCCGUAACUUCGGGAGAAGGCACGCUGAUAUGUAGGUGAAGUCCCUCGCGGAUGGAGCUGAAAUCAGUCGAAGAUACCAGCUGGCUGCAACUGUUUAUUAAAAACACAGCACUGUGCAAACACGAAAGUGGACGUAUACGGUGUGACGCCUGCCCGGUGCCGGAAGGUUAAUUGAUGGGGUCAGCGCAAGCGAAGCUCUUGAUCGAAGCCCCGGUAAACGGCGGCCGUAACUAUAACGGUCCUAAGGUAGCGAAAUUCCUUGUCGGGUAAGUUCCGACCUGCACGAAUGGCGUAAUGAUGGCCAGGCUGUCUCCACCCGAGACUCAGUGAAAUUGAACUCGCUGUGAAGAUGCAGUGUACCCGCGGCAAGACGGAAAGACCCCGUGAACCUUUACUAUAGCUUGACACUGAACAUUGAGCCUUGAUGUGUAGGAUAGGUGGGAGGCUUUGAAGUGUGGACGCCAGUCUGCAUGGAGCCGACCUUGAAAUACCACCCUUUAAUGUUUGAUGUUCUAACGUGGACCCGUGAUCCGGGUUGCGGACAGUGUCUGGUGGGUAGUUUGACUGGGGCGGUCUCCUCCUAAAGAGUAACGGAGGAGCACGAAGGUUGGCUAAUCCUGGUCGGACAUCAGGAGGUUAGUGCAAUGGCAUAAGCCAGCUUGACUGCGAGCGUGACGGCGCGAGCAGGUGCGAAAGCAGGUCAUAGUGAUCCGGUGGUUCUGAAUGGAAGGGCCAUCGCUCAACGGAUAAAAGGUACUCCGGGGAUAACAGGCUGAUACCGCCCAAGAGUUCAUAUCGACGGCGGUGUUUGGCACCUCGAUGUCGGCUCAUCACAUCCUGGGGCUGAAGUAGGUCCCAAGGGUAUGGCUGUUCGCCAUUUAAAGUGGUACGCGAGCUGGGUUUAGAACGUCGUGAGACAGUUCGGUCCCUAUCUGCCGUGGGCGCUGGAGAACUGAGGGGGGCUGCUCCUAGUACGAGAGGACCGGAGUGGACGCAUCACUGGUGUUCGGGUUGUCAUGCCAAUGGCACUGCCCGGUAGCUAAAUGCGGAAGAGAUAAGUGCUGAAAGCAUCUAAGCACGAAACUUGCCCCGAGAUGAGUUCUCCCUGACCCUUUAAGGGUCCUGAAGGAACGUUGAAGACGACGACGUUGAUAGGCCGGGUGUGUAAGCGCAGCGAUGCGUUGAGCUAACCGGUACUAAUGAACCGUGAGGCUUAACCUUACAACGCCGAAGGUGUUU